UACGUAGGGUGCGAGCGUUGUCCGGAAUUACUGGGCGUAAAGAGCUCGUAGGUGGUUUUGUCGCGUUGUUCGUGAAAUCUCACGGCUUAACUGUGAGCGUGCGGGGCGAUACGGGGCAGACUAGAGUACUGCAGGGGGAGACUGGAAUUCCUGGUGUAGCGGUGGAAAUGCGCAGAUAUCAGGAGGAACACCGGUGGCGAAAGGCGGGGUCUCUGGGGCAGUAAACUGAC
rnacentral:rRNA from 1 species